GAUGAACGCUGGCGGCGUGCCUAAUACAUGCAAGUCGAGCGAACAGAUAAGGAGCUUGCUCCUUUGACGUUAGCGGCGGACGGGUGAGUAACACGUGGGUAACCUACCUAUAAGACUGGAAUAACUCCGGGAAACCGGGGCUAAUGCCGGAUAACAUUUAGAACCGCAUGGUUCUAAAGUGAAAGAUGGUUUUGCUAUCACUUAUAGAUGGACCCGCGCCGUAUUAGCUAGUUGGUAAGGUAACGGCUUACCAGGGCAACGAUACGUAGCCGACCUGAGAGGGUGAUCGGCCACACUGGAACUGAGACACGGUCCAGACUCCUACGGGAGGCAGCAGUAGGGAAUCUUCCGCAAUGGGCGAAAGCCUGACGGAGCAACGCCGCGUGAGUGAUGAAGGUCUUCGGAUCGUAAAACUCUGUUAUUAGGGAAGAACAAAUGUGUAAGUAACUGUGCACGUCUUGACGGUACCCAAUCAGAAAGCCACGGCUAACUACGUG
rnacentral:rRNA from 1 species